rnacentral:lncRNA from 1 species
UUUGUUUACGUUUCCUAGUUAAACGUUCAUUUAUUCUUCUGCUGAGACUUUUGAGUCACUCUGAGUUUUAAUAAUUACUUUAAUACUCUCUUUCGUUAUGAUGUGGUUGUGGUUAUUCACUUGAAGUCUAUUAUAUGUGUGAAAUUUUGAUCCUAUUACACAUAUAAGAUGCACUCAGUUUUUCCACUAAAACCGGGUGUGACAGAAAUAGUACCAGAGCUAUGUUGAUUGUAGGACGUGAGCCUAGUUAGCAACAGUCUUUGUUUAAGGAUUACUAUGCUUAUUCUACCUUGUUCUAAUUAUCCUUGCUCUUGUUUUGUUAUAUAUUCUUACUCAUUGAUUAUUUACCUUCUCCUUGUUGCUAUUUGUACUCACUUAACCUUGUCACUAUUUAUUCUCUACUCAUUCUAUCAUAUCUUAUCUUGCUUUGAGGUUCUUAAAGUUGUUUUGACCUUCUACUUCCUCCACCCAUAGAUGGUUCUAACCAGGAGUA